AAAUACUUUUGGCAAUAUAGUGUACAUCACAGUUUAGAAACAAAACCCAAGGACCACCUUAGGGAAUCGUUUAAUUCAGUUUUGCGUCUUGUAUGGUUCACAAAUAGUGUCACAGUUAAGCUGGAGCCUAUCCCAGCUGACUUCAGGUGAGAGACAAGUGUCUCGGGACGUCUUCAGCCAAAUGCUGGUCCUUACAGAGUCCAGAAGUGCAGGUUGAAGUGUUGUGGCUCCACCACAUGAAUGGGUGGCCCCGAAGAUCUGAUCCCAAGCAUGGGCGGGUUUGGCGUAGACAGGAUGUAGUCAAUGCUGAACUUGAUCUCGGAUCCCGGUUUCCCCUGGACGGGGUUCGGGACCAGCGGCGGACACGGUCGAGAUCGCUGCGGGGUCAAGGGGCAGAGGUCGGAG